ACGGACGUAGUUCAGCGGUAGAGCACUUGGUCUCCAAAACCGACUGUCGGGAGUUCGAAUCUCUCCGUCCGUG
rnacentral:tRNA from 1 species